GAUGAACGCUAGCUACAGGCUUAACACAUGCAAGUCGAGGGGAAACGGCAUUAAGUGCUUGCACUUUUUGGACGUCGACCGGCGCACGGGUGAGUAACGCGUAUCCAACCUUCCCAUGACUAAGGGAUAACCUGCCGAAAGGCAGACUAAUACCUUAUGGUCUUCACUGACGGCAUCAGAUGUGAAGUAAAGAUUUAUCGGUUAUGGAUGGGGAUGCGUCUGAUUAGUUAGUUGGCGGGGUAACGGCCCACCAAGGCAACGAUCAGUAGGGGUUCUGAGAGGAAGGUCCCCCACAUUGGAACUGAGACACGGUCCAAACUCCUACGGGAGGCAGCAGUGAGGAAUAUUGGUCAAUGGGCGAGAGCCUGAACCAGCCAAGUAGCGUGCAGGAUGACGGCCCUAUGGGUUGUAAACUGCUUUUGUAUGGGGAUAAAGUCAAUCACGUGUGAUUGUUUGCAGGUACCAUACGAAUAAGGACCGGCUAAUUCCGUGCCAGCAGCCGCGGUAAUACGGAAGGUCCGGGCGUUAUCCGGAUUUAUUGGGUUUAAAGGGAGCGUAGGCUGGAGAUUAAGUGUGUUGUGAAAUGUAGACGCUCAACGUCUGACUUGCAGCGCAUACUGGUUUCCUUGAGUACGCACAACGUUGGCGGAAUUCGUCGUGUAGCAGUGAAAUGCUUAGAUAUGACGAAGAACUCCGAUUGCGAAGGCAGCUGACGGGAGCGCAACUGACGCUGAAGCUCGAAGGUGCGGGUAUCGAACAGG
rnacentral:rRNA from 1 species